rnacentral:misc_RNA from 1 species
AAGUCGUAACAAGGUAACCGUAGGUGAACCUGCGGUUGGAUCAUUACAAAAUACCAGUCUGGCUUGUCCCAUUUGGUUGACUUGCCAGACUACGUACCCCUUGUGCACUGUCAUUGUUUUUUGGGUUACUUUUCGAGUGUUGGUUUACACUGACACUCAGAGAGGGCCCAGCAGUACAAACCAAUUUAAUUUGUCUGAAACUAAGAGAAAAAUCGUAACAACUUUUGACAACGGAUCUCUUGGCUCUC